GACUCAAUGUAUGCGGUCAUCCCAGGAAACCGUAUCAGAGAGCCACCAAGCACAGUUCUAUCCAGCCAUGUCAGUAGUUACACCUGAGCCUGUCCCUGCUGUGACACGUCAAAAUGUCUGCCGUGAAGCGUUGUCUUACAGCAGAUAACGGAGUGAAUGGACUCUUAAGAAGAAGUAACCCGCACACUCUCACAUAAAUACAAAAAAAAAAACAAGUGGCUGAGGCAGUGGUGUGCCUGAAAACUCAGGGAAAUGUAAGGCUGACUGAGAGGCUAGCCUGUGCUAGCUCUGUUAUGUUUGCUUCUCAAACAGACUCAAACGAAUUUCAAGUCUGGCUGUGAAGUGUCAACAACCCAGUAACGGCGGAGCAGGUACGCACACCUGUCGUCCAAACAUGUGUCCCGCAGCGUGUAAAUAAACAGUGAUGAGCGCAUCGGCAGCUUCCAGUGCCAGAGAUACAAAGCGAGACGAUUGACAGCUCCCAGACUGCACUGCAGAUCAGCUCUACGUCCAACCAUAGCGUCCAACGGCUCAGGUCUUCCGCAUGGACGUCUUCCGCCUCUCAGCUGAGUGAAGUCAACCGCACUUACUCCGAAAAAACCCGGAAAUGAUGUGCUGAGUCGAAAUAAAAGCUUUCUAAAUAUU